rnacentral:lncRNA from 1 species
UUGAAACCUAGUAUCUUGAAUAUUUUUCUUAAGGACAAAGUGACACAACUAGAGGAUUAAAAUAAUUUAAUUAAUAAUUUUAUAGAAACCUACUUACUUCAGUAAUACUGUAUCAUGUUUUUGAUAUCUUAAUUGUAUUAUGAGAGAACUUCAAGAAUAUCUAGCCAAAAUAAAAAAGAAGGAUUUUCUUCAUGCUCCAUAAAUCAACUCACUUUUUAAGCAAAGCAGGUAGGUGAGAAGCAACACAGUGUUUUCUCUGUGGUGACUACAGCUACAACGAAAGAAAGGAGAGUGGCACACCUCUGGAGAACUUGUUAUUCAUCAAAAAAAUAUAGAUUUUGUGUUUGU